GAUGAACGCUGGCGGCGUGCCUAAUACAUGCAAGUCGAGCGAACGGACGAGAAGCUUGCUUUUCUGAUGUUAGCGGCGGACGGGUGAGUAACACGUGGAUAACCUACCUAUAAGACUGGGAUAACUUCGGGAAACCGGAGCUAAUACCGGGUAAUAUUUUGAACCGCAUGGUUCAAAAGUGAAAGACGGUCUUGCUGUCACUUAUAGAUGGAUCCGCGCUGCAUUAGCUAGUUGGUAAGGUAACGGCUUACCAAGGCAACGAUGCAUAGCCGACCUGGGAGGGUGAUCGGCCACACUGGAACUGAGACACGGUCCAGACUCCUACGGGAGGCAGCAGUAGGGAAUCUUCCGCAAUGGGCGAAAGCCUGACGGAGCAACGCCGCGUGAGUGAUGAAGGUCUUCGGAUCGUAAAACUCUGUUAUUAGGGAAGAACAUAUGUGUAAGUAACUGUGCACAUCUUGACGGUACCUAAUCAGAAAGCCACGGCUAACUACGUG
rnacentral:rRNA from 1 species